rnacentral:rRNA from 1 species
CUAAUGCCGGAUAUUGUGUCCUACUGCAUAGUAGGUUAACGAAAGAUUUAUCGUUGUGGGAUGAGCUUGCGUCCGAUUAGCUAGUUGGCGGGGUAACAGCCCACCAAGGCGACGAUCGGUAGCCGGCCUGAGAGGGUGAUCGGCCACAUUGGGACUGAGAUACGGCCCAGACUCCUACGGGAGGCAGCAGUAGGGAAUAUUGCGCAAUGGGGGGAACCCUGACGCAGCAACGCCACGUGUGGGAAGAAGCAUUUCGGUGCGUAAACCGCUGUCGGAAAGGAAUAACGGAAGACUUCGGUCUUUAUGAAUGUACUUUUAGAGGAAGCACCGGCAAACUUCGUGCCAGCAGCCGCGGUAAUACGAGGGGUGCAAGCGUUGUUCGGAAUCACUGGGCGUAAAGGGAGCGUAGGCGGAAGUGCAAGCAAUCUGUAUAAUCCUGGGGCCCAACUCCAGUUCUGCAGAUUGGACUGUAUUUCUUGAAUAGUUCAGAGGCAAGCGGAAUUUCUGGUGUAGCGGUGGAAUGCGUANAGAUCAGAAAGAACACCAAUGGCGAAGGCAGCUUGCUGGGGACUUAUUGACGCUGAGGCUCGNAAGUGUGGGUAGCAAACAGGAUUAGAUACCCUGGUAGUCCACACUGUAAACGA